rnacentral:rRNA from 1 species
GGAAAUCGUACGUAGAGUGUAAAGGCAAAAGAGAGCUUGAUUGCAAGACAUACAGGUCGAGCAAGGAUGAAAAUCGGACUUAGUGAUCCGGUGGUUCUGCGUGGAAGGGCCAUCGCUCAACGGAUAAAAGCUACCCUGGGGAUAACAGGCUUAUCUCCCCCAAGAGUCCACAUCGACGGGGAGGUUUGGCACCUCGAUGUCGGCUCAUCACAUCCUGGGGCUGUAGUAGGUCCCAAGGGUUGGGCUGUUCGCCCAUUAAAGUGGUACGCGAGCUGGGUUCAGAACGUCGUGAGACAGUUCGGUCCCUAUCCGUCGCAGGCGUAGGAAAUUUGAGAAGACCUGUCCUUAGUACGAGAGGACCGGGAUGGACGUAUCUCUGGUGUACCAGUUGUCCUGCCAAGGGCAUGGCUGGGUAGCUAUGUACGGAAUGGAUAAGCGCUGAAAGCAUCUAAGCGCGAAGCCAACUUCAAGAUAAGAUUUCCCACCGCAAGGGUAAGACCCCAGAAAGACUAUCUGGUUGAUAGGUCGAAGGUGUAAGUGCAGCAAUGUAUUUAGCUUAUCGAUACUAAUAGGUCGAGGACUUGACCAAU